UACGUAGGGUUCAAGCGUUAUCCGGAAUCACUGGGCGUAAAGCGUGCGUAGGCGGGCGUUUGCGUGAGAUGCGAAAUCGUGUGGCUCAACCAUACGAGUGUAUCUCAUACGGGACACCUAGAGGACGGCAGAGGCAAGUGGAAUUACGGGUGUAGCAGUGAAAUGCGUAGAGAUCCGGAGGAACACCAAUGGCGAAGGCGGCUUGCUGGGCCGACCCUGACGCUAAGGCACGAAAGCGUGGGGAGCGAACAGG
rnacentral:rRNA from 1 species